UGGGGAAUAUUGGACAAUGGGCGAAAGCCUGAUCCAGCCAUGCCGCGUGUGUGAAGAAGGUCUUCGGAUUGUAAAGCACUUUAAGUUGGGAGGAAGGGCAGUAAAUUAAUACUUUGCUGUUUUGACGUUACCGACAGAAUAAGCACCGGCUAACUCUGUGCCAGCAGCCGCGGUAAUACAGAGGGUGCAAGCGUUAAUCGGAAUUACUGGGCGUAAAGCGCGCGUAGGUGGUUCGUUAAGUUGGAUGUGAAAUCCCCGGGCUCAACCUGGGAACUGCAUUCAAAACUGACGAGCUAGAGUAUGGUAGAGGGUGGUGGAAUUUCCUGUGUAGCGGUGAAAUGCGUAGAUAUAGGAAGGAACACCAGUGGCGAAGGCGACCACCUGGACUGAUACUGACACUGAGGUGCGAAAGCGUGGGGAGCAAAAGCAGGAUUAGAUACCCUGGUAGUCCACGCCGUAAACGAUGUCAACUAGCCGUUGGGAGCCUUGAGCUCUUAGUGGCGCAGCUAACGCAUUAAGUUGACCGCCUGGGGAGUACGGCCGCAAGGUUAAAAC
rnacentral:rRNA from 1 species